GUAAUGAAGAAGUUAACUUUGCAGCUCAUUCAACAUGCUCCCAUUUUCUUUCUCCUUCACCAACCCACAGCAUCGCUGUCUAGCCACCGAACGAGCCUGCGACCAUUACUUCUUUUUUUUUUUUCCCUUUGAAUUUCCCAGUACUAUGAAUUUGCUAUUUAAUUGAGACUGUGGAAGAAAUUUCUACUCUUCAAAUCCAAAUCCCACUCAAUUUAAGCAUUCCUUUUUUGUUGAAUUUACACUAAAGGGCUAUAUAUUAGAGCAUUUUGAGGAAAUCAUAGAUCUUCGAAUCCACGUCCCACUCAAUUUAAGCGUUCUCUUUUUUCUUCGAUUUACACAAAAGGGCUGCAUUUUGGGCAUUUUGAAGAAACCCCUACUCUUCAAAUCUAUUUUUCACUCAAAUUCCACCAGAAAUACCACUGUAAAUGGCAAACUCUUCCUUAGCGCCACCGAAUUACAAAUCUGAACGGUACGGGGUUGAUGAAUUCAAGGAAAGCAAACUAACGGGUCUUUAAUACGUGUGAUUGGAUUCUGAGAAUGAGCGUUGCGGAAAUGAAUCAAUUGUCGUUAAAAAUGUGAAAUGGAGUACCGGUUAGGAGGAGGUGGAGAUGGUGAGUGAAUUGAUUCAGAUCAAAGAUAUGAGUUUGAAGGUGAAUAUUGAAUGAUUUUAGAUGAAUGCGAGUUGCCUUUUAGUCGAGAUCUGCGAUGAUUAUUGUCCUUGAGAAGAGGAGACAGUUUGAGACCAUCGUGUCUGUUCUCGAAGAAAUGAGGAGAAUGAUCUGCUCGAGAUGGAAACGUUUAUUAUGGUGAUCGAAGCAUUUGUUUCUGUGAAGGAGAGGAAAUUACUGUUGGGAUUUUCAUCUAUGGAGAAGUUUAAUAUACUAAAAUUGUGGAAGAGAUGUAUCAUACUCUUUGCUGGGAAAAGAUGCACAGGCUUUCUUUGAGAAAUUGGGAUGUAGUUUCAUGCUGAAUUAUAGCAUUUAUAACGUUUCUGCUCAGUCUUUGGCGCCAGGCGAAGAUUUUAAUGGAGUCGUGCAGGAGGUGAAAAAAGAAGAUCGAAAGGGUAUAUAAGUUCGAUGCUGCAUUAUACACUUGUUUGAUUGCGGAAUUUGUGACUCAAAAGAAGAUCGAGAUAUGUAUAAGUUGUUGAAGAAUAUGAAGGAGAAAGGACCCCCCAUCACCCCAGCCUGUUGCACAGACUUGCAACACUCUGAUCAAGGAGAAAAUUUUCCAUGGGAUGGUGGUCCACCUUGUCAGGUGGCCCACCACCCAAUCCCAAGGUGUGUGGGCCACCUGCCGAGGUGGCACACGGUGCGACCACCCCAUGGAAGACUUUCUCUUGAUCAAGAUGAUGUGGUCGGGAAAUAAAAACAAGUUGAUCAAUCAGCAGUGGCAUUUAAUUGACCAUUUUACAUUUGCAAAGAGAUAAUGAUACCAUACGAGUUUUGCAGUUUUGGAGGAGAAGCUGUUGCCAAGAAAUGGUAGAAAAGGGAAUGAUGGAGCCUCAACUUGGUUACAAGAUUUUUCCUAGGCAGUAAAAGGCUAGCAUCCAAAAUUGAUGAAUCAACCCUCUCAGGGCUGAUGAUUCCAUUGCUUGCGCAAAUGACAUUUUGGUCUAUCGGUCAUAUUUCUACUACCUAAAUACUUUUAUCUCUAUUAUGUUGUAAGAGAAAUGCUAUUUGUACAUUACAGUGUACACUCGCCUCACAAGAGGGAGGAUCCACAUCCAACAAAAAAAUGCAUGCCAAAGUGUACACCAGAAUUUACAUAUAGCAAAACUCGUUUUGUAAUAUAAGAUUUGUUGUUGAGAUUUGAGAA